rnacentral:rRNA from 1 species
UACGUAGGGUGCGAGCGUUGUCCGGAAUUAUUGGGCGUAAAGAGCUCGUAGGCGGUGUGUCACGUCGGCCGUGAAACCUGCAGCUUAACUGUGGCGUGCGGUCGAUACGGGCAUCACUGGAGGUUCGGCAGGGAGACUGGAAUUCCUGGUGUAGCGGUGAAAUGCGCAGAUAUCAGGAAGAACACCCGUGGCGAAGGCGGCUCUCUGGGACGGUACUGACGCUGAAGGAGCGAAAGCCGUGGGGAGCGAACAGG